UACGAAGGGGGCUAGCGUUGUUCGGAAUCACUGGGCGUAAAGGGCGCGUAGGCGGCCGAUCAAGUCGGGGGUGAAAGCCUGUGGCUCAACCACAGAAUUGCCUUCGAUACUGUUUGGCUUGAGACCGGAAGAGGUAAGUGGAACUGCGAGUGUAGAGGUGAAAUUCGUAGAUAUUAGGAAGAACACCAGUGGCGAAGGCGGCUCACUGGUCCGGUACUGACGCUGAGGUGCGAAAGCGUGGGGAGCAAACAGG
rnacentral:rRNA from 1 species